UGCAGUCGCACGAUGAUGCCAGCUUGCUGGGUGGAUUAGUGGCGAACGGGUGAGUAACACGUGAGUAACCUGCCCCUGACUCUGGGAUAAGCGUUGGAAACGACGUCUAAUACUGGAUAUGACUACCGGCCGCAUGGUCUGGUGGUGGAAAGAUUUUUUGGUUGGGGAUGGACUCGCGGCCUAUCAGCUUGUUGGUGAGGUAAUGGCUCACCAAGGCGACGACGGGUAGCCGGCCUGAGAGGGUGACCGGCCACACUGGGACUGAGACACGGCCCAGACUCCUACGGGAGGCAGCAGUGGGGAAUAUUGCACAAUGGGCGAAAGCCUGAUGCAGCAACGCCGCGUGAGGGAUGACGGCCUUCGGGUUGUAAACCUCUUUUAGUAGGGAAGAAGCGAAAGUGACGGUACCUGCAGAAAAAGCACCGGCUAACUACGUGCCAGCAGCCGCGGUAAUACGUAGGGUGCAAGCGUUGUCCGGAAUUAUUGGGCGUAAAGAGCUCGUAGGCGGUUUGUCGCGUCUGCUGUGAAAUCCCGAGGCUCAACCUCGGGCUUGCAGUGGGUACGGGCAGACUAGAGUGCGGUAGGGGAGAUUGGAAUUCCUGGUGUAGCGGUGGAAUGCGCAGAUAUCAUGAGGAACACCGAUGGCGAACGCAGAUCUCUGGGCCGUAACUGACGCUCAGGAGCGAAAGCAUGGGGAGCGAACAGGAUUAGAUACCCUGGUAGUCCAUGCCGUAAACGUUGGGCGCUAGAUGUAGGGACCUUUCCACGGUUUCUGUGUCGUAGCUAACGCAUUAAGCGCCCCGCCUGGGGAGUACGGCCGCAAGGCUAAAACUCAAAGGAAUUGACGGGGGCCCG
rnacentral:rRNA from 1 species